rnacentral:rRNA from 1 species
GAUGAACGCUGGCGGCGUGCUUAAUACAUGCAAGUCGAGCGAACAGACGAGGAGUUUGUUCCUCUGACGUUAGCGGCGGACGGGUGAGUAACACGUGGCUAACCUACCUAUAAGACUGGGCUAACUUCUGGAAACCGGAGCUAAUACCGGAUUAUCUAUUGAACCGCAUGGUUCAAUAGUGAAAGACGGUCUUGCUGUUACUUAUAGAUGGAUCCGCGCCGCAUUAGCUAGUUGGUAAGGUAACGGCUUACCAAGGCAACGAUGCGUAGCCGACCUGAGAGGGUGAUCGGCCACACUGGAACUGAGACACGGUCCAGACUCCUACGGGAGGCAGCAGUAGGGAAUCUUCCGCAAUGGGCGAAAGCCUGACGGAGCAACGCCGCGUGAGUGAUGAAGGUCUUCGGAUCGUAAAACUCUGUUAUUAGGGAAGAACAAAUGUGUAAGUAACUAUGCACGUCUUGACGGUACCUAAUCAGAAAGCCACGGCUAACUACGUG